GCUUAGAAGCAGCCAUCAUUUAAAGAAAGCGUAAUAGCUCACUGGUCGAGUCGGUCUGCGGGGAAGAUUUAACGGGGCUAAGCACAGAACCGAAGCUUGGGGUGCAUAACUUUGUUAUGCGCGGUAGAGGAGCGUUCCGUAAGCCGUUGAAGGUGGAUUGAGAAGUCUGCUGGAGGUAUCGGAAGUGCGAAUGCUGACAUGAGUAACGAUAAUGCGGGUGAAAAACCCGCACGCCGAAAGCCCAAGGUUUCCUUGCGCAACGUUAAUCGGCGCAGGGUGAGUCGGCCCCUAAGGCGAGGACGAAAGUCGUAGUCGAUGGGAAGCAGGUUAAUAUUCCUGCACCUCGCGUAAGUGCGAUGGAGGGACGGAGAAGGUUAGGUGUACCAGGCGUUGGUUGUCCUGGGGAAAGGCGGUAGGUUUGGAUCUUUGGCAAAUCCGGGAUCCUUUAAGACCGAGCACCGAGACGAGCCUUUAUGGCGAAGUCACUGAUACCACGCUUCCAGGAAAAGCUCCUAAGCUUCAGCUUACGCAGACCGUACCGUAAACCGACACAGGUGGGUAGGAUGAGAAUUCUCAGGCGCUUGAGAGAACUCGGGUGAAGGAACUAGGCAACAUGGCACCGUAACUUCGGGAGAAGGUGCACCCUUUUUGGUGGCUCGUGCGAGCUAUAGCUGAAGAGGGUCGCAGUAACCAGGCCGCUGCGACUGUUUAUCAAAAACACAGCACUCUGCAAACACGAAAGUGGACGUAUAGGGUGUGACGCCUGCCCGGUGCUGGAAGGUUAAUUGAUGGGGUCAGCCGCAAGGCGAAGCUCUUGAUCGAAGCCCCAGUAAACGGCGGCCGUAACUAUAACGGUCCUAAGGUAGCGAAAUUCCUUGUCGGGUAAGUUCCGACCUGCACGAAUGGCGUAACGACAGCGGCGCUGUCUCCACCCGAGACUCAGUGAAAUUGAAAUCGCUGUGAAGAUGCAGCGUUCCCGUGGCAAGACGGAAAGACCCCGUGAACCUUUACUAUAGCUUUACACUGAACGUUGAGUUCGUCUGUGUAGGAUAGGUGGGAGGCUAUGAAACUGUGGCGCUAGCUGCAGCGGAGCCAUCCUUGAAAUACCACCCUGUCGUGCUUGACGUUCUAACCUGGGCCCAUUAUCUGGGUCGGGGACCGUGUAUGGUGGGUAGUUUGACUGGGGCGGUCUCCUCCUAAAGAGUAACGGAGGAGCUCGAAGGUACGCUCAGCGCGGUCGGACAUCGCGCACUGUGUGCAAAGGCAUAAGCGUGCUUGACUGCAAGAUCGACGGAUCAAGCAGGUAGGAAACUAGGACUUAGUGAUCCGGUGGUUCUGUAUGGAAGGGCCAUCGCUCAACGGAUAAAAGGUAGGUCCCAAGGGUAUGGCUGUUCGCCAUUUAAAGUGGUACGCGAGCUGGGUUCAGAACGUCGUGAGACAGUUCGGUCCCUAUCUGCCAUGGGCGUUGGAGAUUUGAGAGGGGCUGCUCCUAGUACGAGAGGACCGGAGUGGACGAACCUCUGGUGUUCCGGUUGUCACGCCAGUGGCAUUGCCGGGUAGCUAUGUUCGGAAGCGAUAACCGCUGAAAGCAUCUAAGCGGGAAGCGCGCCUCAAGAUGAGAUCUCCCGGGGCACAAGCCCCCUGAAGGAACCAUGUAGACUACGUGGUUGA
rnacentral:rRNA from 1 species